UUCGCAAUGCCCGAAAGGGUGACGAUGCGACGCCGCGUGAGCGAAGAAGGCCCUAGGGUUGUAAAGCUCUGUCGAGGGUUAUGAAAUAUAGAUGGGUUAAUACCCCAUUUAUUUGACAAAAGCCCAAAAGGAAGCCACGGCUAACUCUGUGCCAGCAGCCGCGGUAAUACAGAGGUGGCGAGCGUUGUUCGGUAUUAUUGGGCGUAAAGAGCACGUAGGUGGGUUUGUAAGGCAGAUGUGAAAGCCUCCUGUUCAACGGGAGAAUUGCAUCUGAAACUACUGAUCUUGAGUAUAGGAGGGGAGAAUGGAACUUCUGGUGGAGCGGUGAAAUGCGUAGAUAUCAGAAGGAACGCCGGCGGCGAAAGCGAUUCUCUGGCCUAUUACUGACACUCAGUGUGCGAAAGCUAGGGGAGCAAACGGGAUUAGAUACCCCGGUAGUCCUAGCCGUAAACGAUGGGCACUAAGUAGAGGGGUUUU
rnacentral:rRNA from 2 species